AAACAUAAACCUUAUCCCCUCCAACUGUUGUUUCCCGUCGCUCUUCUUCGAUCUCCUGCGCUCUGCUCACCGCAGUUUAUCGUACCAGUGGAUCUGUAAGGAUGGUCUUCUCUUCCUUCUUUAUAUUGCAUCUAUCAUCUCCAAUGCUCCGUGUAGCUGCUACUCCUCCCUUUCAUUUCUUCGUCUCUUUCUCUUUUCUUUAGAUUUGCAAGAAGAAAAGAACUCUGCUUCUUUCUUCCUUCCUCUGAUCUAAUGAAACGGAUCAACUUUAUGUCCAAGGGUAUGCCGUUACUGCUUCCUGUUAAUUGGGAAGGGGGAAGAGAGGAAGGAAAGAGCUCUGCUCCUUACCAUCGUGCUUGCAAAUCCUAGCUAUUUCUCAGUUUUUUAUUCUUUUCCCACUGGAAACAGCUAUUUAAUAUCGCAAUAACAGUUCCGUCCUAAAGAAUAAUGCAAGAAAAAAAAAAUAUUUGUUACUACGUACUACGUGCUAACCUACUAGCUUUAUUUAUUUGCCUCCAGGAAAUAGCAACCUAACCAGCUUCCAAUCAAAUAGCUCGCCUAGAAGAUCUACUUGGAAUGGUAAUUGCAACAUUGAUAGUUCCUUUAACCACUUCUUAUAGGACAAUAAUUUUUUCUUUACCCACCUACUAAUUCACGAUGAUUUUUCACCAUAGGCUUCUUCCUCCAAAAUAGCUCUUGGUCUCAUAGAACUUACUGAGGAAAUGGAGACAAGUUUAGACAAACUGCAGCUAGCCAUAUUAGCAAAGCCUAUUACCGCCACUCUAUCAGCACCAACAACUGCAGAUGUUGAAGCAAUGUUCACACGCAUUUACAGUGCAGCAACCCAACCAGAGGAAAUUUCCUAUUUCCGACUUUGUCAUACAAUUUCGCACCAAAAAAAGAUCAUGAUACUAUCCUCAACUAUAAGCUCCUCACCGAUAACAAUCACACAUUCACUUUAGCACCCUGGACUGAUGAUGCCAGGAGUUUCACAGAGAGAUGGUCAGUACCAGUAACAAUUGAAAUCCAUGGCAUACCUCCACACGCAUUCCAUGCAAGCAGCCUUAAUGCACUGCUUGACCCUCAUUGUGAUGUCGAGAAUUAUGUCAUGGACAAAAAAGCUGGUAUCUGUACCAUCGAAGCAUUUGCUUUGAACACCAAUUCCAUUCCAUCAACAGGUCUGCUCUCAUAUCCAAGACGCACUGGAUAUGAAACUACCAUAUACUCAUUCCCUGUAACCCUAAAAACGAAGCUGUCCACAAAACCAAGGAGGUUGCCUUCGGAUUGGUUAGGACCUCCUAUGUGGAAAUCCAUCCAGAUUACGACAGCCCCCCUUCGAUUAAAGACCACGCGGAAAACAUUGACCCAGAUAUGAUCAGGGAAUGCAACAGAGCAAUAUUUGAAGCUGAAUUAGAAGAUGAAAGAAGAUUGAAUGUUGUUCCUCGCUUCGGAGGCGCUUCGUAUUCAGGUGAAAGUUCCGACUCCGAUGACCCAAACGACGCUUACUAUUACCCUGACUCUGAUCGCGAACCAAAAAACUGGUGAACCCAAAUGGAGGGUACAGGUCACCAAUCAAUUGCCAGCCGCUUGCCGAUCUGCAGCCAAGGAAGCAGUUACUAUGGGUGCUAAUGGAGCCAGUACACGGCGAGGCAGCUUGAGGUGGUGCCUGCUAUAUGUCAAGAAGUUCACUAGGGUAUUGUAUAUAUGAUGCUGCUUGAAUCUUUCCAAGGCAACAUGCUAAGGCCGUGAACAAGUACUACAAAGCUUGAUCAGCACCCCAAGGGCAACAAUUAGCUGCACAAGAAAAUAUUGGGCUCUUGCCAUCUUGGCUCCUUGAUUGGCAAUUUUGUUGAAAGCGUUUUUAUCACAAAAUCAAAUCUUAAAACCUUAUUUUAUUUGGCAAUUCCUAAUAUUCGUAAUUGUA